GGCUUGCCUCCGCUUGCUGGCCGGCGCGCGUGUUUCUCUCCCUUCGGCUUACAGCAUCCGCCGGACCUUCUCCUCUCUCCGCCUACGCGGUACGAGUAUGCUGUGUGCGCCAGUGCGCCCGCAAGCCCGCAAGUUCGCGCUCCGCCACGCAGCCCAAGCUCUCUCUAGCCGCGCGCUGAUCGGCCACGUUCGUCAGCCGGGCCCCACGCAAAAAGGCAGCGGGGCCGCGCGCGAGCCGACUGGACACGGACACACACGACGGACGAUUUCUUACUGUUAAUUCGAAGACAAACACGAACGAACGGACCGGGCCGGCUUGGCGAGCAACGCGUCUCCAAGACAAGUCUCUUAAGGAAACGAUCAUUCUUAUAUACUAUAUAUACAUAUACAUAGUAACGUUCUCGCUCGCCGCUCAAGGAAACAGUUCGACGACGUGGUGUGACACGUAAUACGAGUGAAAACAUUCGAAACACGCGCGCUCCGACCUGAUCACACGAGACCUCUUCGAAGAAACGGGCAGUGACUGUGAGGAAACGAACAGGAUAUCACGGACUGCUAUCCAGUGCGCUGUUUUCGUUUGUGAAACACCGUUUACGCACGUCCUCGAACACGUCUUCUUGGGAUCGCCGCGAUCGUACAGAUUGACGAAUGACGACGUAACAGAGAGCUGGCUGGUGCGCGGAUACCGGGACACAAGAGGGGACAGCAUCUUUCAAAUCGCCACAGCAACGUUUAUCACGAAUAAGAAGAACCGCGGGAAGGAAAAUCGAGACGAGGGAGCGAGGGGCA